GGCUCGUUGGUCAAACGGUUAAGACACCGCCCUUUCACGGCGGUAAUGCGGGUUCGAUUCCCGCACGAGUCACCA
rnacentral:tRNA from 1 species